rnacentral:rRNA from 1 species
UAAUUUAAGGUCUAGCCUGCCCACUGAAUUUUUAAAUGGCCGUGGUAUUUUGACCGUGCUAAGGUAGCAUAAUCAUUAGUUUUUUAAUUAAAAACUGGAAUGAAAGGUCGGAUAAGAAAAUAGCUGUCUCUAUUAAAUUUAAUUAGAAUUUUAUUUUUAAGUUAAAAAGCUUAAGUGCUAUUAAAAGACGAGAAGACCCUAUAGAGUUUAAUUAUUUAAUAAAAAUUAUAUUUUAGUAUUUAUUUAUUUAUUUUAUUAAAUAAUUUAAUUGGGGUGAUUGAAAAAUUUAAUUAACUUUUUUUUAUUUAAAAACAUAAAUUUAUGAGCAUAUGAUCCAAUAUUUUUGAUUAUAAGAUAAAAUUACCUUAGGGAUAACAGCGUAAUUUUUUUAGAAAGUUCAUAUUAAAAAAAAAGAUUGCGACCUCGAUGUUGGAUUAAAAUAAAUUUUCGGUGUAGAAGCUGAAAUAUUAGGUCUGUUCGACCUUUAAAAUUUUA